rnacentral:rRNA from 1 species
CCUACGGGUGGCAGCAGUGGGGAAUAUUGCGCAAUGGGGGAAACCCUGACGCAGCAACGCCGCGUGAGUGAAGACGUAUCUCGGUAUGUAAAGCCCUAUCAGCGGGGAAGAAGGAAGACGGUACCCGACUAAGAAGCCCCGUCUAACUACGUGCCAGCAGCCGUGGUAAUACGUAGGGGGCGAGCGUUAACCGGAUUUACUGGGUGUAAAGGGAGCGUAGACGGCGUCGCAAGUCUGAAGUGAAAGCCCGUGGCUCAACCGCGGACCCGCUGUGGAAACUGGGAGGCUGGAGUGCUGGAGAGGUAAGCGGAAUGCGUGGUGUAGCGGUGAAAUGCGUAGAUAUCGGGAGGAACACCGGUUGCGAAGGCGGCUUACUGGACAGUGACUGACGUUGAGGCUCGAAAGCGUGGGGAGCGAACAGGAUUAGAUACCCGUGUAGUC